GAUGAACGCUAGCUACAGGCUUAACACAUGCAAGUCGAGGGGAAACGACAUCGAAAGCUUGCUUUUGAUGGGCGUCGACCGGCGCACGGGUGAGUAACGCGUAUCCAACCUGCCCACCACUUGGGAAUAACCUUGCGAAAGUAAGACUAAUGCCCAAUGACAUUUAUAGAAGGCAUCUGAAAUGAAUUAAAGAUUUAUCGGUGAUGGAUGGGGAUGCGUCUGAUUAGCUUGUUGGCGGGGUAACGGCCCACCAAGGCGACGAUCAGUAGGGGUUCUGAGAGGAAGGGUCCCCCCACAUUGGAACUGAGACACGGUCCAAACUCCUACGGGAGGCAGCAGUGAGGAAUAUUGGUCAAUGGGCGAGAGCCUGACCAGCCAAGUAGCGUGCAGG
rnacentral:rRNA from 1 species